ensembl:processed_transcript
UUCUCUACAGGUUUGAGGUGCCACCUUACAUACAAAAGGAUGGGUGUACACUCUCUUUUCAGAAUAUGGUUCAUCUCAAAGCCCUUUACCCUUUGGAGCCAGGCCUGUUCGAUUUUACAAAUAGCACGUUUUGCUUGUAGUCAGGUAGGUAUUGAUGGUUUGUGCUUCCUUAGGGAGCAUAUUUAGAUGGCCACUAAAUGAUGAACAAUGUAAAUGACAAGCAUAUGGCUGAGUUGCAAUGAUGUCAUCUUACUACUGAAGUGGGCUGAAGAAAGAAGGUGCUGAGGUGGCUGUGAUUACAUUUAAAAAUGACAUUGUUUCUCUGUUUCCAGGGUGCUGUGACAACAUGAAAAGUUCAAGCUACCUCCCAGGAUGAGUGCAGGUUUUCCUGGUGACAAAUCUCAGGCAUUCAAAGGUUCUGUUAGCAGUGCCAUACUUGGGUUUACAGAGAUGGUGUGUCUGACUGAGAGCAAAGGAGCCAUACCAGGUAUAUGUCUUAGUAAUGCUUUUUGUAGUAUAAGGUUGAAUAUAUAAUACUUAGACCUAGUGAAUUCCUGCUCACCCUGAUGAACUGAAUACCGCCCCAGUCUGAUAGCUGUGAAGAAAGGUAUUUUCUGAGUUGUGAGCUCAUCUUGGAUCAAGUAGGAAAUUUUUUAUGCUAAUACUAGCAUAAGCUUUUGUUAAAGAAGCUUAAGCAUUAAUGGCCCAAGUUGUUUGCUAUUUUGCAGGAAAGUUGAAGCAUAUCUUCAUUUUCAAGUCCAGGCUAAAAUAAGGUGAGAAAACUUAGAUGAAAAGUAUGCUGAACUAUAAUUUCCCCAUGAAGAAAUGUUCAAACGUCC